rnacentral:rRNA from 1 species
UACGAAGGGUGCAAGCGUUACUCGGAAUUACUGGGCGUAAAGCGUGCGUAGGUGGUUUGUUAAGUCUGAUGUGAAAGCCCUGGGCUCAACCUGGGAAUUGCAUUGGAUACUGGCAGGCUAGAGUGCGGUAGAGGAUGGCGGAAUUCCCGGUGUAGAGGUGAAAUUCGUAGAUAUCGGGAGGAACACCAGUGGCGAAGGCGGCGAUCUGGGAAGAUACUGACGCUGAGGUGCGAAAGCGUGGGGAGCAAACAGG